GACGAACGCUGGCGGCGUGCCUAAUACAUGCAAGUAGGACGCAGUUGCGAACGGGUGAGUAAUACGUGGGUAACCUGCCCUCCUAUUUGGGAUAAGACUUGGAAACGGGGUCUAAUACCGAAUAACGGGGGAUGGGCUGGCGGCCUAUCAGCUUGUUGGUGGGGUGAUGGCCUACGAAGGCGGUGACGGGUAGCCGGCCUGGGAGGGGGACCGGCCAGAUGGGGACUGAGAUACGGCCCAGGCGCCUACGGGAGGGAGCUGUGGGGGAUAUUGCACAAUGGGGGAAAGCCUGAUGCAGGGGAGCCGCGUGGGGGAUGAAGGCUUUCGGGUUGUAAACCUCGUUCGCAAUCGAGCGGGUGGGUGGAGAGGAAGCGCCGGCUAACUACGUGCCAGCAGCCGCGGUAAUUC
rnacentral:rRNA from 1 species